GCCUCCGUAGUUUAAUGGAUAAAAUAGAAGAUUCCGGUUCUUCAGUUUAGGGUUCGAUUCCCUACGGGGGUACCA
rnacentral:tRNA from 1 species